rnacentral:rRNA from 1 species
UACGUAGGCAGCAAGCGUUGUUCGGAAUUACUGGGCGUAAAGAGUGUGUAGGCGGUGCUCUAAGUUCGUUGUGGAAUCUCCCGGCUUAACUGGGAGGGUGCGGCGGAAACUGGAGUGCUUGAGCGCGGGAGAGGAAAGCGGAAUUCCUGGUGUAGCGGUGAAAUGCGUAGAUAUCAGGAGGAAUACCGGUGGUGUAGACGGCUCUCUGGACCGCCACUGACGCUGAGACACGAAAGCGUGGGUAGCAAACAGG